UUGACCUCGGAUCAAGUAGGGAUACC
rnacentral:rRNA from 3 species